rnacentral:rRNA from 1 species
UUAAGCGACUAAGCGUACACGGUGGAUGCCCUGGCAGUCAGAGGCGAUGAAGGACGUGCUAAUCUGCGAAAAGCGUCGGUAAGGUGAUAUGAACCGUUAUAACCGGCGAUGUCCGAAUGGGGAAACCCAGUGCAAUUCGUUGCACUAUCGUUAACUGAAUACAUAGGUUAACGAGGCGAACCGGGGGAACUGAAACAUCUAAGUACCCCGAGGAAAAGAAAUCAACCGAGAUUCCCCCAGUAGCGGCGAGCGAACGGGGAGCAGCCCAGAGUCUGAAUCAGCUUGUGUGUUAGUGGAACGGUCUGGAAAGUCCGACGGUACAGGGUGAUAGUCCCGUACACCAAAAUGCACAGGCUGUGAACUCGAAGAGUAGGGCGGGACACGUGGUAUCCUGUCUGAAUAUGGGGGGACCAUCCUCCAAGGCUAAAUACUCCUGACUGACCGAUAGUGAACCAGUACCGUGAGGGAAAGGCGAAAAGAACCCCGGCGAGGGGAGUGAAAAAGAACCUGAAACCGUGUACGUACAAGCAGUGGGAGCACCUUCGGGUGUGACUGCGUACCUUUUGUAUAAUGGGUCAGCGACUUAUAUUCUGUAGCAAGGUUAACCGUAUAGGGGAGCCGCAGGGAAACCGAGUCUUAACUGGGCGUUAAGUUGCAGGGUAUAGACCCGAAACCCGGUGAUCUAGCCAUGGGCAGGUUGAAGGUUGGGUAACACUAACUGGAGGACCGAACCGACUAAUGUUGAAAAAUUAGCGGAUGACUUGUGGCUGGGGGUGAAAGGCCAAUCAAACCGGGAGAUAGCUGGUUCUCCCCGAAAGCUAUUUAGGUAGCGCCUCGUGAAUUCAUCUUCGGGGGUAGAGCACUGUUUCGGCUAGGGGUCAUCCCGACUUACCAACCCGAUGCAAACUACGAAUACCGAAGAAUGUUAUCACGGGAGACACACGGCGGGUGCUAACGUCCGUCGUGAAGAGGGAAACAACCCAGACCGCCAGCUAAGGUCCCAAAGUCAUGGUUAAGUGGGAAACGAUGUGGGAAGGCACAGACAGCCAGGAUGUUGGCUUAGAAGCAGCCAUCAUUUAAAGAAAGCGUAAUAGCUCACUGGUCGAGUCGGCCUGCGCGGAAGAUGUAACGGGGCUAAACCAUGCACCGAAGCUGCGGCAGCGACACUAUGUGUUGUUGGGUAGGGGAGCGUUCUGUAAGCCUGCGAAGGUGACCUGUGAGGGUUGCUGGAGGUAUCAGAAGUGCGAAUGCUGACAUAAGUAACGAUAAAGCGGGUGAAAAGCCCGCUCGCCGGAAGACCAAGGGUUCCUGUCCAACGUUAAUCGGGGCAGGGUGAGUCGACCCCUAAGGCGAGGCCGAAAGGCGUAGUCGAUGGGAAACAGGUUAAUAUUCCUGUACUUGGUGUUACUGCGAAGGGGGGACGGAGAAGGCUAUGUUAGCCGGGCGACGGUUGUCCCGGUUUAAGCAUGUAGGCUGGUUAUCCAGGCAAAUCCGGAUAAUCAAGGCUGAGGUGUGAUGACGAGGCACUACGGUGCUGAAGUAACAAAUGCCCUGCUUCCAGGAAAAGUCUCUAAGCAUCAGGUAACAUCAAAUCGUACCCCAAACCGACACAGGUGGUCAGGUAGAGAAUACCAAGGCGCUUGAGAGAACUCGGGUGAAGGAACUAGGCAAAAUGGUGCCGUAACUUCGGGAGAAGGCACGCUGGUGUGUAGGUGAAGCCCCUGCGGGUGGAGCUGAGACCAGUCGAAGAUACCAGCUGGCUGCAACUGUUUAUUAAAAACACAGCACUGUGCAAACACGAAAGUGGACGUAUACGGUGUGACGCCUGCCCGGUGCCGGAAGGUUAAUUGAUGGGGUUAUCCGUAAGGAGAAGCUCUUGAUCGAAGCCCCGGUAAACGGCGGCCGUAACUAUAACGGUCCUAAGGUAGCGAAAUUCCUUGUCGGGUAAGUUCCGACCUGCACGAAUGGCGUAAUGAUGGCCAGGCUGUCUCCACCCGAGACUCAGUGAAAUUGAACUCGCUGUGAAGAUGCAGUGUACCCGCGGCAAGACGGAAAGACCCCGUGAACCUUUACUAUAGCUUGACACUGAACAUUGAGCCUUGAUGUGUAGGAUAGGUGGGAGGCUUUGAAGCGUGGACGCCAGUCUGCGUGGAGCCAACCUUGAAAUACCACCCUUUAAUGUUUGAUGUUCUAACGUUGGCCCCUGACCGGGGUUGCGGACAGUGUCUGGUGGGUAGUUUGACUGGGGCGGUCUCCUCCCAAAGCGUAACGGAGGAGCACGAAGGUUAGCUAAUCCUGGUCGGACAUCAGGAGGUUAGUGCAAUGGCAUAAGCUAGCUUGACUGCGAGCGUGACGGCGCGAGCAGGUGCGAAAGCAGGUCAUAGUGAUCCGGUGGUUCUGAAUGGAAGGGCCAUCGCUCAACGGAUAAAAGGUACUCCGGGGAUAACAGGCUGAUACCGCCCAAGAGUUCAUAUCGACGGCGGUGUUUGGCACCUCGAUGUCGGCUCAUCACAUCCUGGGGCUGAAGUAGGUCCCAAGGGUAUGGCUGUUCGCCAUUUAAAGUGGUACGCGAGCUGGGUUUAGAACGUCGUGAGACAGUUCGGUCCCUAUCUGCCGUGGGCGCUGGAGAAUUGAGGGGGGCUGCUCCUAGUACGAGAGGACCGGAGUGGACGCAUCACUGGUGUUCGGGUUGUCAUGCCAAUGGCACUGCCCGGUAGCUAAAUGCGGAAGAGAUAAGUGCUGAAAGCAUCUAAGCACGAAACUUGCCCCGAGAUGAGUUCUCCCUGAGACUAUAAGUCUCCUGAAGGAACGUUAAAGACGAUGACGUUGAUAGGCCGGGUGUGUAAGCGCAGCGAUGCGUUGAGCUAACCGGUACUAAUGAACCGUGAGGCUUAACCUU